GAUGAACGCUAGCUACAGGCUUAACACAUGCAAGUCGAGGGGUAGCAGGGUAGCAAUACCGCUGACGACCGGCGCACGGGUGAGUAACACGUAUCCAACCUUCCCAUAACUCUGGGAUAGCCUUUCGAAAGAAAGAUUAAUACCGGAUGGUACUUUUUCAAGGCAUCUUGAGAAAGUUAAAGAUUUAUUGGUUAUGGAUGGGGAUGCGUUCCAUUAGAUAGUUGGUGAGGUAACGGCUCACCAAGUCUUCGAUGGAUAGGGGUUCUGAGAGGAAGGUCCCCCACAUUGGUACUGAGACACGGACCAAACUCCUACGGGAGGCAGCAGUGAGGAAUAUUGGUCAAUGGGCGAGAGCCUGAACCAGCCAAGUAGCGUGAAGGAUGAAGGUCCUAUGGAUUGUAAACUUCUUUUAUAGUAGAAUAAGGUGAUCCACGUGUGGAUUUUUGUAUGUAUACUAUGAAUAAGGAUCGGCUAACUCCGUGCCAGCAGCCGCAGUAAAAC
rnacentral:rRNA from 1 species